rnacentral:lncRNA from 1 species
AUAUAUGGAACUUAAUCACCAAGCACAAAAUUUGACAAUUGAUGCCAACUUAAAUUAACAGAUUUAACCGGCGGGGAGGGGAAACAGAGUUUUACCAGAGCUGAUUGAGGCCUGUACUUGCCGAAGAUGUUCCAGUUGAGAUGGUGCUGGGAAGAAGGUCACGGCGGUGCAAGGUCCGGUGGUGGUGGUCGGAGCAACUGUUGGCAGGGAGGAGCUGAUGCAGGACAAUUAGAGCUGUCUGCGGUGAUGACUGUCAGAGCCGACAGUGGUGGUGCAGCAGUCGACGGCGGCGACGGCAACGCGGCGGCGCGGCGGUGGGAACAACCCGGCGG